UAAAAAAGUUAAAAUUCAAUGUUAAAAUUUUAUAAAAUUAUUUGUUAAAUUGGUGUUGUUUUCAUUGAAAACAUAAUUACAGACAGAAAAACAAAACUCAUGAUUUACAAUGCAAAACAUCUAAACAAGCAACCUUUUGCACAUUAAUAAUAAUAAUUAUUACGAAUUGAAUGACUGCAUAAUGUUCAGCUAUCUUGUCGAGUUCACAUAAAAAUAGUCACAUUGACAAAUAUGAUUGUAUCUUGAUAACAUAUAGUUGUUACAAAAAUUAUAAAUUAAAAAUAAGCUUAAUUAUUUAAUAAAAUGUUAUAAGGCGAUAAUUAUCACUUCCGUUUAUUCCGAAUGAUUAGUAAAUAAUAUUCCACACUUAUAAAGCAGCCGUUGGCAUAUUUAUAAUAAUCAUUAAUGAUACUUAUGGUAUAGAGAACGGAAUGACUGGGUAUAAUCGAGCUAACCUGUCGAGGCCGUAUCAGAACAGUCAUGUUGACAAAUUUAGUAGUAUCUUAAACAAAUAUAAAUACCGACGAGCGGAUAAAUUUAAACCAGUGAUUAAGAUUUUGUCAAAAAUGUUCACGUUUUUACCUGAAAUUGUAUUAUUUUUGGUAACAAUAGUACUUCUAGUACUCGGUUACUUUAAGUACAGUUAUACAUAUUGGUCGAGAAGAGGAAUACCAUUCAUAAAACCUAAGCUGUUCUAUGGUAACCUAAAAAGUUUACCCAAAGGUGUAGGAAUGGGUAAGUACCACUUUAAACCCCAGUACUUAAUUUUAUACGUACAACUUCUUUUAGGUUUGGUAAGCAAAACCUUCCACGAAGAGUUCCGAAGAAUGAAAGUAAGGUACGGAGGCCUGUACGGAAUCGCCCAACCUAUAUUGAUGGUCGUAGACUUGGAUUUCAUCAAGGACAUCUUCAUCAAAGACUUCCAGUACUUCGUGAACCGGGGCAUGUACCACAACGAAACGGCCGACCCCUUAUCAUCCAACCUGCUCACGCAGGAGGACCAAAAAUGGAAGAACUUGCGCAUCAAAUUCACACCCACGUUCACAACCGGCAAAAUGAAGAACAUGUUCAGCUCCAUGAACGGGUGUGCCCAGCGUAUGUUGGAUUACAUGGAGUCGUCGGAUAAACAAGCACUGGACGCGAAGAACGUGAUGCAACGCUACACCAUCGAUGUGAUCGGCACCACCGUCUUCGGUAUAUCCUGCGACAGCUUCGCCGAAACGUCCGACUUCAGGAGAAUGGCCAGACGCAUCUUCGAAGUCGACUUUCGCUCCGCCAUUAACUUCUGCCUCGCCCUUUACUGUCCGACCAUCGCCAAGUAUUUGGGUGUGACCCUGACAAGCAGAGAUGUCAGGGAGUUCUUCUUCAACGUGGUGGCCAGCAACGUGAAGUACCGCGAGCAAACCAACACCAAACGCUCGGAUUUCUUUCAAAUGCUGGUCGAUUUGAAAAACGCCCCGAACAAAGAGGACAGCAUCAACUUAACGGAGAUCACGGCUCAGACGUUUCUGUUCUUCCUCGGAGGGUUCGAAACGUCUUCCAGUACUAUGAUGUUCUGCACGUUUGAGCUGGCCCACAGGCAAGAAAUUCAAGACAGGCUCCGGAAGGAGAUUCGAGAAGUUUUGAAUAAGUACAACCAAGAAAUCAACUACGAGUCGAUACAAGAAAUGAAGUACCUGUCUCAAGUACUCGACGAGACGUUAAGGAUGUAUCCUCCAAUACCGACGUUAGUAAGAAAGUGUACACAAGAUUAUAAAAUAAGAGGGACUGAACAUGUGAUUGAAAAAGGUACCACGGUACUUGUUUCAAUAUUUGGAGUGCAGAGGGAUCCGGAAAUUUGGCAAGAUCCACUUGAAUUUGACCCUGAGAGAUUUAGUGAUGAGAACAAAAGGAAUCAUCACCCUUGUGCUUACAUACCUUUUGGUAACGGACCAAGAAACUGCCUUGGUAUGAGAUUUGGAUUGUUACAAACAAAAAUCGGACUUGUACACCUUUUGAAAAAUUAUAGAUUCUAUCCUAGUCCAAAUACUAAAGUACCCCUGGAGUUUGAUCAGGAGUCUGGCGUACUGAUUUCUCUUAAUGAUAUUUAUUUUAAAGUAGAAAAGUUACAAUAAUAAAAAAUGUUACAAUAUACGUGUCCUUUAGUUUAGUAGCUUUCAAUCAGCUUCUAUUAUUAAUUGACACAAAUACUAAAAAAAAAAUAUGAAGUACCCGUCUCAAGUGCUUAACGGUAAAAAAAAAUAAUCACUUACGUUUCAAAUAUUGUUUUUCACUAAUCACUUUAAUAAAUAAAAAAUAAACAACACUGUAACAAUCAAUAUUGUUAAAAAAACAAAUGUAAAAAUUAUUUCACAUGACAAACAAUCAAUAAUUCACCCAAAACAGUACUAAAAAUAAAACUCAUCACUUACAGUGCGAAACCUCUAAAUAAGCAACAACAUACACAUUUAUAAUAAUCAUUAAUAAUAAUUGGAACGAGUGGAAUGACUGUAAAAUAUUUAGCCAUCCUAUCAAGUCCAUAUUAAAACAGUCAUGUUGAUAAAUACAUACAUCCGUUAUCUUACAUAAAUACAUAUAGAACAAAUUUAAAAUAGUACCGAUUAUGAUAUAAAAAAUGUUCAACUAUUUUAUUGAAGUUUCGUUAUUUUUGGUAACCGUAGAUAACUGAUCUAGACUUCCACCUAAAGGAAUAGGUUUGGUAUGCAAAAGAUCAGAAACAGAAAAUUAAGGUAAGAAAAGAAGGUACCAAGUU